GAUGAAGAACGUAGCGAAUUGCGAUAAGUAAUGUGAAUUGCAGAUUUUCAGUGAAUCAUCGAAUCUUUGAACGCACCUUGCGCUCCUUGGUAUUCCAAGGAGCAUGCCUGUUCGAGCGUCAUUUCACCACUCAAGCCUGGCUUGGUGUUGGGCGACGUCCUCUUUGGGGACGCGCCUCGAAACGCUCGGCGGCGUGGCACCGGCUUUAAGCGUAGCAGAAUCUUUCGCUUUGGAAGUCGGGGCCCCGUCUGCCGGAAGACCUGCUCGCAAGGUUGACCUCGGAUCAGGCAGGGAUACCCGCUGAACUUAAGCAUAUCAAUAAGCGGAGGA
rnacentral:misc_RNA from 1 species